rnacentral:rRNA from 1 species
UACGAAGGGGGCUAGCGUUGUUCGGAUUCAUUGGGCGUAAAGGGUGCGUAGGCGGCGCGGUAAGUCGGGUGUGAAAUCUCGGAGCUUAACUCCGAAACUGCAUUCGAUACUGCCGUGCUUGAGGACUGGAGAGGAGACUGGAAUUUACGGUGUAGCGGUGAAAUGCGUAGAUAUCGUAAGGAAGACCAGUGGCGAAGGCGGGUCUCUGGACAGUUCCUGACACUGAGGCACGAAGGCCAGGGGAGCAAACGGG